rnacentral:lncRNA from 1 species
CAAAGUACACGUUGCCGACGAAUUAAAUAUGCGGUCCGUUGUUACUGAUGAUGGGGUGUUACACUGUGGGCGGCUUGUCCCGAGAAAGGACGAUCACCGCGCAGGACCCUGACCGGAGGCCGAAACACAGCGCAGAGGCGGGCUCGCGGCUACGUCCGCCUCACUCCCUACUGUCAUUCGCACGGUGGGCCGACAUGCAGUCCUGAGUAGAUCCGAUGUGAACAUAUAGGCAAGUAGACGACGUCUACAGUACUGCAGCUGCAAGCAAUACAUAGGUAGAGCUGUGGCUCUAAACAAACGCUCAGUAAUUAAGAAUGCAGGAGACAACUACACGCACCCCCAUCUGCGGCUCCUUGCACGGUGGCUCAACUGCCACCCGCUGCAGACUCCACCUGCGGUUCCUCCUCAUAUUUCAGCGGAGAACCUUCGUGGUGGUCGCCUGACGGCUCCCAGAACUCGAACGCAGCCACCACCCGUGUAGCGUGAUACAGUCGUAACUUCCGACAUGGACACCUCAAACUAGUACUGCUGCUCGAUCUGCUGCUGCUGACCGGCAGUAGUUGUGUCUCGAGGUCGGUGGUCCGAUGGGUGUGCCACGGAGCAGUCUCGAAAUCGCUCGAAAAUACAUUCGUUACACAAACACUAGCUCCCACCAUGUUGACACUACCCAUCAAUUGUCACACUUGCCACCCUAGCUACCAGCCUGUACGGAUGCAGAGGGGCACCCGCCCUUCCUUCGGCUUCAAGGAAGCCGCCACCCAACUUGUCGGCUUCGAGGAAGCCGACAUUAGACUUGCCCUUAGCCUGGUCUGAUGUUUCAUCUCAUUUGGAAAUCGGCUUGCUUCAUAUCAGAACGUCAGCUUCCUAUGAUUUAAUUCUAUGCUAUUCUAUUUUUGAGGGCUACACAUUACAGAACUGCCCUGCUCGGUGGUGGAAACUGUCUCACUCCCUCACAAGCCGGGACUGGACUGUACGGCUCAGCAACCCUACAGGUAUCCAGGGGCUCGACACCACGGAGCGUGGUGCUGGACUCCAGCCGCUGGAGACAGCAGACCGUGACACUCCGGAGAGUGCACUGCGUGGGCCACCACAGUGUUGGCCUUGUAGCUCAAGAUCCAAACAUAUGGAACCCCGAAUCACGGAGUGUAGAAUCCAGUAACCCACAUUCGUUGGUACAUGAGCAUGUAGGCUACGGAUGUCAGAAUCCCUACAUGCUGAAUGCCGUGCAUCCAAACGAUAGCCACCUCUUUCUUCAGGUACAGAGCCGUGGGCUUCCUUACGUAUUGUCUUAAUUUAUAUGUAAUCCCUUGCUUGACCGGGUGGUAGCGUGCGUUGUGGUAGAACACACCCAUUCAACACCCGCAGGCUUAAGAAGGCUAGGAUGGUGCCAAUGGUACGAUACCCUAAAUCCCCUUGUUGCUCUAGAUUGCUUGCGUCUUUACUUGCUAUGGUGCGGAGGUUUUCGCGGGCUUGCUUUGUACAUGUGGCGUGUCUUGCAUGGCCUAUACAUACAGUGUUCGGGUUCGG